GGCGAGUGGCGAACGGGUGAUUAAUAUAUCGGAACGUGCCUUGGAGUGGGGGAUAACUAGCUCGAAAGACUAGCUAAUACCGCAUACGACCUACGGGUGAAAGUGGGGGAUCGCAAGACCUCAUGCUCUUAGAGCGGCCGAUAUCUGAUUAGCUAGUUGGUGGGGUAAGAGCCCACCAAGGCGACGAUCAGUAGCUGGUCUGAGAGGACGACCAGCCACACUGGGACUGAGACACGGUCCAAAUUCCUACGGGAGGCAGCAGUGGGGAAUUUUGGACAAUGGGGGCAACCCUGAUCCAGCAAUGCCGCGUGUGUGAAGAAGGCCUUCGGGUUGUAAAGCACUUUUGUUCGGAAAGAAAUCGCCCUGGCUAAUACCUGGGGUGGAUGACGGUACCGGAAGAAUAAGCACCGGCUAACUACGUGCCAGGCAGCCGCGGUAAUACGUAGGGUGCAAGCGUUAAUCGGAAUUACUGGGCGUAAAGCGUGCGCAGGCGGUUGUGCAAGACAGAUGUGAAAUCCCCGGGCUUAACCUGGGAACUGCAUUUGUGACUGCACGGCUAGAGUGUGUCAGAGGGGGGUAGAAUUCCACGUGUAGCAGUGAAAUGCGUAGAUAUGUGGAGGAAUACCGAUGGCGAAGGCAGCCCCCUGGGAUAACACUGACGCUCAUGCACGAAAGCGUGGGGAGCAGACAGGAUUAGAUACCCUGGUAGUCCACGCCCUAAACGAUGUCAACUAGUUGUCGGGUCUUAAUUGACUUGGUAACGCAGCUAACGCGUGAAGUUGACCGCCUGGGGAGUACGGUCGCAAGAUUAAAACUCAAAGGAAUUGACGGGGACCCGCACAAGCGGUGGAUGAUGUGGAUUAAUUCGAUGCAACGCGAAAAACCUUA
rnacentral:rRNA from 1 species